GAGGAGAGGGUGUACCAACAGGAGCUGCUAACUCUUGCCUCUGAGCAUAAAACCUCAGUCUCCUUA
rnacentral:tRNA from 1 species